AAGCGGAGGAAAAGAAACCAACAGGGAUUGCCUCAGUAACGGCGAGUGAAGCGGCAACAGCUCAAAUUUGAAAUCUGGCGCCUUUGGCGUCCGAGUUGUAAUUUGCAGAGGAUGCUUCGGCGAUGGCGCCGCCUAAAGUUCCUUGGAACGGGACGUCGUAGAAGGUGAUAGCCCUGUGACCGGGCGGAUGCCUUCGCCGUGUGAAGCUCCUUCGACGAGUCGAGUUGUUUGGGAAUGCAGCUCAAAACGGGAGGUAAAUUUCUUCCAAAGCUAAAUACCGGCCGGAGACCGAUAGUGCACAAGUAGAGUGAUCGAAAGAUGAAAAGCACUUUGGAAAGAGAGUCAAACAGCGCGUGAAAUUGUUGAAAGGGAAGCGCUUGCGGUCAGAACUUGGCCGCCGUUGCUCGGGGAGGUCUCGCGCCUCCCUCGCUCUUCGGCGGCUGGGCCAGCAUCGGUUCGGGCGGCUCGAGAAAGGUCGCGGGAACGUAGCUCCCUCCGGGGAGUGUUAUAGCCCGCGGCGGAAUGGGGCCUGCCUGGACCGAGGUCUGCGCAUCUGCUCGGAUGCUGGCGUAAUGGCCUCAAGCGGCCCGUCUUGAAACACGGACCAAGGAGUCUAACAUUCGUGCGAGUGUUCGGGUGUCAAACCCGUGCGCGCAAUGAAAGUGAACGUAGGUGGGAACCCGCGAGGGCGCACCAUCGACCGAUCCGGAUGUCUUCGGAUGGAUUUGAGUAUGAGCACGUAUGUUGGGACCCGAAAGAUGGUGAACUAUGCGUAAACAGGGCGAAGCCAGAGGAAACUCUGGUGGAGGCUCGCAGCGGUUCUGACGUGCAAAUCGAUCGUCAAAUUCGCGCAUAGGGGCGAAAGACCAAUCGAA
rnacentral:rRNA from 1 species